GCUUUUUAACUUUAUUUUUAUUUUAUUUUACUUCUGGUUAUACAUAGAAAUACAGGAUUUGGUUUUAUUUCUGUUCAAAAAGCAAGCCUCUUCUCUGGGGUCUGUGUUUCAGGGAGGGCACCUGAAAGUUAGCAGUCAAAUCAUCACUUAGCAAGUAUUCAUUGACCAUGACCUCUUCUAACUAGGAGGAAUUGAGCCCUUCCAGCUUCAAACCCAAGGGGUCUGCUAAAGGCAGCAGGUAAUCAGGAUUUAGAAAAUUUUCCAUUCUUUUUUUUCCCUGACAAGACAGCAAGCUGAGGGGAUUUUGAGAAGUGAGACAGGAAAGAAAACUGAGUGGGUUUGAAAAUACUUCAGAUAAAACAUUCGAGAAGAUGAUUUGAGAGCAUACCAUUUAUAUAUUAAAUUAUUAAACAUAGGACCUUUAUCCAUGUAACUAUUUGCAUUUUAUAAAAGCACUCUCCCAUACAUAACCUCAUUUGAUCCCCACAAAAGCCUCUAAGGCAGAAGAAACUGAUGAGAUCACCCCCAUUUACCACUCGGGAAAGUAAAGUGAAAUGGCCAAGCCUCAGUUAUCAAACUUACGAAAAUGGAGACUUACACUUGACUUGGGUCUCUUACUUGAGAACCAGGGCUUUUUCCACUUCACUGGGCAGUUUUGGGGCACAAGAUGUGGCACCAAACCUGUUCUUAAACAUUUACAAAAAAAUGCAUCAACCCCAGUUGCAAGGAAUUCCUUGGUAAGCAGUGUGUUGCAUCACAGCAAAUACAGUUUGGGAGCUGACAGAACAAAAUCAGCAUCUGAGGGAACUAGUUAGAAGAUACACGAGGUAGCCCCCCAAGGUUAAAACUACAGGAAACCUAAUAUAACUCCCUCAUGUUUAUGAGACAAGCAAGUGCCAAAGAAGUUAAGUUCCUGGUCCAAAGCCACAGAAAACCCCAAAACUCAGCCUGGGACAUGUCUCCUGACUCAGACCAGAGCUCCACCUCACAUAACCCACUGCCCCUUGCUCCAAAUUGUGCUAACUAUAUGCCACUUUCCCCAAGGACUGUGUCCCUGAAAUGUUUCCUUGUAAAUUUCUAUAAUUCAAAUACGACCUUUUCAUUGACUUCUUUGAUGAAAUGGCAAAUCAAUCCUGUUAGCAGAUAACUUGCUGAAUUCAAUAUGGUAGAAAUCAGCAGAUAAAUUAUGGCUAACAUCCAAAUAACGCAAAACUACUCACUAGGACAAGUCAGGAGCAUUACUUCCAUGUUGAUUUUUUUAUUAUUAGAAAAUAUGAAAGCUUCAUGGAAUAAGGAUAUUUUCCCCAUCAUAUUUUAAAAGAUUAACUCAUUAAACUAAUAUUUAUUAACAUGCCAGGCACUACUCAAGGCUCCAGAAACAUAAGAGUGAUCAAAGCAGUUUAAAAAAAAUCACUGCCCUCAUGCAAUCACUUGUGCUUACAUUCUAGCAGGAAUCACAUAUUUUAUUAUUUUUUUGUUUUCCUAAAUUAAUUCAAGUUAAGAAAUGCCUGCAAGGCACUGUGAAAAGUACAAAAUCCAUAGUCUCUGCCCUUUAAGAACAUAAAGUAUUUGCAGGAAAACAGACGUACAGACACUCAUAAAAAUAAUUAUGAAUAAAAGGUAUAUGAUCGAGUCACAAAAGUUAAGUCUCAAAAUAAAUCCUGAAAAUAAUUCAGAGGAAGAGAAAUCAGAGGGCAAGGUUUGGAAGCAAAAGGCUUGUCGAGGGAAGAGAGGGGAGUCCAGUGUGGAAAAGGCAUGGCCAGAGAACAUGAUCCAGAAAAAGUUGGCUUGUUUGGGGGACAGUGCAGAUGCUACCCACCUGGGCCACAGUGGUAAGAAUUGCCUGCAUUCCUCGAAAGCCUGACUGAGACGCUGUAGAUUCAAGCCUAUAAAAAUCAAAGCUACCAAGACUUUUAAGCAAGAGACUAACACACAAGUGGAGUCUUCUGGCAGAACACAGGGUAGGUUGUAGAAAACAAACUAGAGUCCACGUGUUCACUCAUCGACAGGUGCUGCACACACUGUGUGCUAAGUGCUUGUGAGGAACCAAUGUGAUGGCCACCUCCGCUAUGGAAACAGACUUGGGGCAAACAAACAUCACGCUUGGUGAUGAGAACCAUGAGUGAAUUAACAGGACGCACAGACAGAGCUUCACAGGGAGGCCCUGUCAGACAAGAAAACCUCUAAGGAGGCGGUGGUCUUGCUGGACCCAGAGGAAGGGCGAGACGGCCCAAGUCUCAGGGAGAGGAAGGAAAAGCGUCCAGAAUGAGAAAGCAGACUGUGAGGUCUGAGGCAGGGACAAGAGGUGAUCCCAGGCCCCAGGGCAGCACACCAUGCUGGAGACAAGGGUUGUGGAGAGGCGGAUCAGGGCAGAACUAAGAGGACAUUACAGAGCUUUAAUAAGGAAUGCCAGGACAGACUGCUUUUUGUUGUUUUAAUUCUAGCUGCUUUGUGGAGAGCAGAUUGGAGUCAGAAAAACCACCAAGAAAGGCAGUAGCUACACCCCAACUGAGAAAUGCUGAGAGCCCAGUAAUGGCUGUGAGAAUUGGGAAACAGCGGUUGAACUCCCCCCCCCUGCUCUUUCCUCGUUUCAGCCAGGCUCAGAGGGAAUAGGGGCCAGCGUUAUUGUCAAGUCAAACACACCUGACAGAUGCUGCUGCCUAGGCCAAGCCUCCCUAGAAAUGACUUAUCUGCGCCUCUGCUCUAUCGGCUCAGUGGUGUUGUAAUCGCAGAUGGCCAGCCUGACCAUGGAAGAAGAGAGAAGAGAGAAGAGAGCAAACUUGUCCUCCCCACAUCACCCCAUCCCUGUCCUGCUUGCUGCCCCUCCAGAGCAAACUUCCUCCCACACCUGCCACCAAGGCAGGAGUGCUCUGGCCCCUCCAGCCCUCCACAUUCUCAGGACUUUGCAACACCAAAGUUGUGGAUGGGAAAUUUUAAAGCACAAAGCGUCUGGAAGAGUCAACAGUCCAAUAUUUGUAUGACCUUCCCUCCACAUAAGCCUUGGCUGUGGCCUGCUGCACUUUCCAGCUAAUAAAGAGCCAGCUGCUGUGGAAAUGGCUUGUUCUAACUGUCUUGGGUUCUACCUGCCGCCCUGCCCAUCAACUGCUUCCAGUCAACUGCCACUAACUCAGAACUACCUCUGGGUCCCUGCCCUCCACACUGGAUCAGCCCUCAGCUCCACCAUUGUCUGUGCUUUGCUUCUCAGCCUCCUCUCUGCUCCACUCCAGAACCAGCCUGCUUUCUGAGAGUUUCUCAAUGAUGCCAAACGCUGAUGCUUGUGGCAGUCACAGAUUCUCAAGACUUUGGAUGACACACUUAAACACUGUGUCAAAAGCUCAGCAUCACACAAAACCUGCUUCUUAAAAAGAAUAUAGUGCUAUGGAGCAUUGUUCCAGCUAGGGUGACCAUCCAUAAGAUUUCUCUGAAGUCUAGUCCUGGGUCUGCUAUCCCCUUCUGCUUCAACACCAAGGCUGUGACAUCUGGACUCAAUGUCCAGCAAUCUGUCAUUUCAAAUUUUGCACAGUCAGAACUGGGGGCUGCUAUGUAGCCAAGCUCUGUCCUGGAUGUCCACACUUUCCCCUGCCAGGGCUCCCCAAUGGAUUAGGGUGAAGCUAAGAAGUCACCUGAAAUCCCACCUGGCUUGGCUCCUUCCUACUUGCUUCUCUUACUCUCUAACCAGCUUCUCCUGGGAAAACUUUCUUAAAAAAUGACUUGCAUACAAAUCUCUGUCUUGGGGUCUGCUUCUGGGGAAUCCCACCUAAGACAAUUCCCAGCAUGAAAAAACAAAAAAUAAAUUACAAUCGCCAACAUCAUGCAUGCAAAAAUAAAUACAGAAAGUAUUUAUUUUAACCAAAAAUUAACCUUCAAAAGGGCUUUCCAAAAGUGUUCUUUCUAGCCACCCUCCUCCUCAACUACCAUGCUCAGCCACUGAACUCCUAAACAACACAGGGAAGGCAUAGGGUGAAGCCUUGCAACCCUCACUGUAAUUGGGCAGAUGCAACAAAGAAUGCAAAGGAUGCAUGCAAAGAAUAACAACUACUUUCCUAUUAAAAUCUAACAGAUUGCUAUUUAGAGUCCUCAUUUCCCCCAGAUCGAAUGAAUUCUUCAGUCAAUUACAGGUUUGUUCCCAGUUGUGUACUGGUAAACCAGGAUCUUCAGAGAACAGAAAAAGUUCUGCUUUCUAGCAUCUGUUAAUUUCUAUGAUAUAAAUACUUCCAGCACAGCCAAUUGCAAACUCCCAAUAUGACGUCACUGAAUGGGGAGCUGGAAAGAGGUGUGCACAAUAGGCUCUCGUGAGCCAGAAGAGCCAGCUCCAGCACGCCACCCUAUCAAUUUUUUUGCAUACUUCCAAAUACACAUCAUCUAUUGUGAGUUACAGGAAGUCUCAAGGUAGGUAUUUUUAAAUAGUCCAUAAAAAUUGGACUCAGGUUAUUUAAUGAAUUGUUAGUUGAGCCUAUAACUAAUCUCUUCGACAUUAACAUUUUUAAUAAACAUUUGAGCAAUAUCCAGAUUCAGAAUAUUGGCUAGAACUAUAAUAUCACCUCUAUUCAUUAGGCUUAUAUUUUCUCAAUAAACUGAUUUUGUUUUUCAUAAGAUAUUAAUGCUUUUGGAAGUCUUACUCUUAAUCCUAUUAAUUCCUAAACUCACCUUUAAAAGUGGAUGAGGAAAUACACAGAGGCAGUCAAUUUCACUGAUGCAUACAUUAAACUGCUAAAGGUAAAUCUAAGAUUCUCAGCAUUGCUAAAAUGAAGAACUUCAUCUGAAAGUAUUUUCUGGACUUAAAUCAAACCCUUGGGGCCUGGUUUGAGCUUCCUUGGCUUUGCUGUCUUCUGAAUUAAGCUCACUGGCAACAUACAAGGACGCACAUAUCAGCUCAACAAAGUGUGUCUAUUUGUCUAUGUUGAAUCAAAGACCUCGUCUGAAAAGAAGAGGCAUGGCUCUGCCUGCCAUAACAAAUCUUUGGCAAAUAAGCUCAGAGAAGGAGCUAAAUCCAAGACAAUGCAGCAUCUGGGACACAAGAUGAAGUAUCACGGGUGUGCACCCAAGAGGAGAAGGAAGUAGAGUUUGAAAUUCGCAGGAUAUGGAGGUGGUAGGAACGAUUUCAAAACACCUCUAAUUCCAGACAAGAUGUUUCCCAGCUGUGAGCUAGUUACUAGGUAGAUACAGGACCAGAAACACCUUCUAAGACUUAAAAAACCACAUAUCUGUAUAACCCUAUUUUUACUGUAAGCAUGCUACUUUAUCUUCACCAAUGACUGUGAACUAAUUUUAAUAAGGUAAAAAGAAAAGAAAUCCAAUCUCCUUCCCACUCCCCCCCCCCCCCCCCCGCCCCCCCCCCCCCCCUCACUCUCUCACACACACACUAGACACACAUACUCAGGUACUGGUGUGCUUCUUUGAAUCAGACUUCUUUAAAUCAAUUAAUUCUCUUCAUUUCUUGAAUGACUUUCCAACAGAAUUAGCAAAUGAUAGAGGCUGUGAAAGGGGUGGGCCCUCCAUUUUAAAUAUGGUGAGAGAACAUCACUGCUCCUGGAAAUGCCCCUGAAAGGGGUCCGUGCUAGAUCCCAGCACAGCAACACGCUCUCUGGGCUGGCAGGACAAUAACUGCCAUAGCCAUGACACUAGCCAGUCCCUUUACUGCUGUCUCAUCUCUACCACAUGACAUCACUGGUUGGUCUAAAAUUGUUUUAAGUGGACAGUUUCUUCCUGAGGUAAUUACCACAAAAUUAUUAGAAUUUAAAAUCAUAAUUAUAGGAAAGCCAAGACAGGUGAUCAAGAAUGGGAAAGAGAGCCUCGUAGUAAGCCUCUGUUUUCGCUGCCUAUUUAUACCAAAUAACAGAAAAGGUGAAGUGGUCCUCCUUGUUCCAUUUAACAUACUUUAGCUUCCAGGUAAUAAGCCUCACAGCCCGAAGGAAAUGGAUCCAUGGAUGAAAUAUCUGGUCCUUUCCUGGCAGCCCUCAUGCGGUCCCACUGCUGGCUGAAUAAGCAGGGAGCACAGUCCCUGGCAUCAGGCCCCGGAGGGCUGAGAAGGAGCCCUGGCCUGAAGCUCAUGCUCACUUCAUAUCCCUCCUUCAAGCUGCAGCCCCCUACGCAGUUCAUCUGUGUGAUGUUGACGCCGGUCUGCCACCUAGAUGGUGGGGUGAAGCUUCCCGGUCUGUCAGCGCACGUCAGCCGGCUCGUGCUUCUUCUAAGUGUGGGAAUGCACCAAACUGCUGGUCUCAGUGGCCAUCUUGUGGGUUUCAUCUAGGAAAAGAAGGUAGAGAGAAAGUGAGGGAGAACUAACGGGAUACAUCAGGGUCACUGAGAAUGCUAAGAAGCUGCUGCUGACAUCCCCUCAACCUAUGGCUGUAAUAAUCCUUACGAUGGCUCAGCAAAGAGGAAAAGUAAAAUGUUUACAAAUUUAAAUGAAACUGGCAAUACCGAUAGGAAUGAGGCAGAAAGCUUUGUUUGUACAAAGCAGUCUAAACGAUACAUUGCUUUCACAAAACUAUGUAGUAAGAAUCCUCUAGCUUUUGGGUGCUAACGUUUAUAGAAGUUUCAGUCUGAAACUUCAUCAAGGCCUGAUAAAAAAACCAGUCGUGUAUUCUUCCAAAUUCGUUAACUGGUUUGUAUGAUGAAGUAAAUAAACUCUGUACAAAUGUUGUGUGAGCAAAAUAAAAGUAGACAAAGCGGUUUGGCUUAUAGCCAGCAAUGAAAAUGUGGACUUGAUACACGAAACCAAGAAAAGCGGAAAAAGAAAAGGGAACUUAGAUUGAUGAGUCACUGUGCACGCUCCAGGAUCAGAAUGUUUACAAAAUAUUGCAGAGCUGAUCCACACUUCAUGCAUGGAAUGUUCUACAAGAGCUAACAUGCAGGCCAACACAGGGCAGAACCAGCUGGCUUUGUCAGAAUCUACAGAUAAGACACACACCCCGAUUCCCUCCACACCUUUUCCAUGGGGCAAAUGGGGGAACUUACCAUUUAUUGGCACUUUUAGGAAGAUACAUAUCAGAAGAAAAGAGGAGGAGAAAAAGGAAACGGCAUAAGCAAGAGAACUGCAUGAACAAUUCCAGGUUGUUUUUAUUUUCUGCUUUAAUUUUAGUUUUCUAUUCAUAGGUGGUCAGAGGGCAAAGCCUCAAUUCUCUCAUGUCAGGAUGGAGGUGUUUAAGCACUCAAUAACAAAAAGGAGGUUAAAAUAGUAUCAUAAUUGCUUUUCAACCCCCGUGAAUCAUGUAAUGACUAAAUAAGUCUUACCUGUCUUUGACAACUUUUUCUCAUUUACAUUCCCUGAAAAAUCAGCCAAAUUAUAGUACAAAAUUAAUGUCAAAAUUUGGUCAAAUAAGCCUAAAGAGGCUGUAUUUUAACAGAAGACUACUAGUAAAUUGUAGCUAUUAAAAAAUGUCUUAUGCAGGGAAGUGCUAUCAGAUUAAGAGUUCCACAUUCUACAGGUUAACUCAUUAAAAUUCUGAAUCCUUUUAGCCAUUUUGUGAUUGAGGAUGUGUCUCAUCAAAAUAAAAUGCUUAAGUCACCUAAAAUGAGAAUAUUAAAUCAAAACUGAUUUCAGGUAUAAAG
rnacentral:lncRNA from 1 species